CCGUAACUAUAACGGUCCUAAGGUAGCGAAAUUCCUUGUCGGGCAAGUUCCGACCCGCACGAAAGGCGUAACGAUUUGGGCGCUGUCUCAGCUGUAGACUCGGUGAAGUCUUAGUACCUGUGAAGAUGCAGGUUGCCCGCGACUAGACGGAAAGACCCCAUGGAGCUUCACUGCAGGUUGACAUUGGGCUUGGAUGCAUGAUGUACAGGAUAGGUGGGAGGCUGUGAGCCGUGCGCGCCAGCGUACGGGGAGCCGCUGUUGGGAUACCACCCUUCAUGCAUCUAGGUCCUAACCGGAGGCAACGGGCCACGGGACAGUGUCAGUCGGGCAGUUUGACUGGGGCGGUCGCCUCCCAAAGAGUAACGGAGGCGCCCAAAGAUACCCUCAGCAUGGAUGGAAACCAUGCAUAGAGUGCAAAGGCAUAAGGGUGUCUGACUGCGAGACAUACAGGUCGAGCAGGGACGAAAGUCGGGCUUAGUGAUCCGGCGGAUCCGAAUGGAAGGGCCGUCGCUCAACGGAUAAAAGCUACCCUGGGGAUAACAGGCUGAUCUCCCCCAAGAGUCCACAUCGACGGGGAGGUUUGGCACCUCGAUGUCGGCUCAUCGCAUCCUGGGGCUGUAUUCGGUCCCAAGGGUUUGGCUGUUCGCCAAUUAAAGCGGUACGCGAGCUGGGUUCAGAACGUCGUGAGACAGUUCGGUCCCUAUCUGUCGUGGGCGCAGGAUAUUUGAAAGGCGCUGUCCCUAGUACGAGAGGACCGGGAUGGACGCACCUCUGGUGCACCAGUUGUCACGCCAGUGGCACAGCUGGGCAGCCAAGUCCGGACGGGAUAAGCGCUGAAGGCAUCUAAGCGUGAAGCCCCCUCCAAGAUGAGACCUCCCAUUGGCGACAAGUAAGGCCCCUCGAAGACGACGAGGUUGAUAGGCCGCGAGUGCAAGCGCAGCGAUGUGCUUAGCGGGGCGGUACUAAUAGGCCGAGGACUUGGCCAA
rnacentral:rRNA from 1 species